GACGAACGCUGGCGGCGUGCUUAACACAUGCAAGUCGAACGGAAAGGCCCUUCGGGGUACUCGAGUGGCGAACGGGUGAGUAACACGUGGGUGAUCUGCCCUGCACUUUGGGAUAGCCUGGGAAACUGGGUCCUAUACCGAAUAGGACCCCCGCCCUCCAUGUUUUGUGUGGGAAAGCUUUUGCGGUGUGGGAUGGGCCCGCGGCCUAUCAGCUUGUUGGUGGGGUAAUGGCCUACCAAGGCGACGACGGGUAGCCGGCCUGAGAGGGUGACCGGCCACACUGGGACUGAGAUACGGCCCAGACUCCUACGGGAGGCAGCAGUGGGGAAUAUUGCACAAUGGGCGCAAGCCUGAUGCAGCGACGCCGCGUGAGGGAUGACGGCCUUCGGGUUGUAAACCUCUUUCAAUAGGGACGAAGCGCAAGUGACGGUACCUAUAGAAGAAGCACCGGCCAACUACGUG
rnacentral:rRNA from 1 species